GUAGGUGAACCUGCGGAAGGAUCAUUAUUAAAACAUACUAGGAAAAAACCUAGCUAUGUCUACCCAUGUUUUUUACGCACCUAAAGUUUCCUCGGCGGCUUUGUCCGCCAGUUGGACAACAAUUAAACCCUUGUAGUUGCAGUCAGCGUCAAAUAAACUUAAUAAUUAAAACUUUCAACAACGGAUCUCUUGGUUCUGGCAUCGAUGAAGAACGCAGCAUCUGACUGACUAAGAUUCGGCGCAUCUCGUA
rnacentral:misc_RNA from 1 species